GAUGAACGCUGGCGGCGUGCCUAAUACAUGCAAGUCGAGCGAACGGACGAGAAGCUUGCUUCUCUGAUGUUAGCGGCGGACGGGUGAGUAACACGUGGAUAACCUACCUAUAAGACUGGGAUAACUUCGGGAAACCGGAGCUAAUACCGGAUAAUAUUUUGAACCGCAUGGUUCAAAAGUGAAAGACGGUCUUGCUGUCACUUAUAGAUGGAUCCGCGCUGCAUUAGCCAGUUGGUAAGGUAACGGCUUACCAAGGCAACGAUGCAUAGCCGACCUGAGAGGGUGAUCGGCCACACUGGAACUGAGACACGGUCCAGACUCCUACGGGAGGCAGCAGAGGGAAUCUUCCGCAAUGGGCGAAAGCCUGACGGAGCAACGCCGCGUGAGUGAUGAAGGUCUUCGGAUCGUAAAACUCUGUUAUUAGGGAAGAACAUAUGUGUAAGUAACUGUGCACAUCUUGACGGUACCUAAUCAGAAAGCCACGGCUAACUACGUG
rnacentral:rRNA from 1 species